AUUGAACGCUGGCGGCAGGCCUAACACAUGCAAGUCGAACGAGUGGCGGACGGGUGAGUAAUGUCUGGGAAACUGCCUGAUGGAGGGGGAUAACUACUGGAAACGGUAGCUAAUACCGCAUACCAUCAUAUGUGCCCAGAGGGGAGUAGCUAGUUGGUGGGGUAACGGCUCACCCAGGGGACGAUCCCUAGCUGGUCUGAGAGGAUGACCAGCCACACUGGACUUGAGACACGGUCCAGACUCCUACGGAAGGCAGCAGUGGGGAAUAUUGCACAAUGGGCGCAAGCCUGAUGCAGCCAUGCCGCGUGUAUGAAGAAGGCCUUCGGGUUGUAAAGGACGUUCAGCGGGGAGGCGUUACCCGCAGAAGAAGCACCGGCUAACUCCGUGCCAGCAGCCGCGGUAAUUC
rnacentral:rRNA from 1 species